rnacentral:lncRNA from 1 species
CCUCGCUGCCGCCUUGCAGUUUGAUCUCAGACUGCUGUGCUAGCAAUCAGCGAGACUCCGUGGGCGUAGGACCCUACGAGCCAGGUGUGGGAUGUAAUCUCAUGGUGAGCCAUUUUUUUAAGCCGGUCUGAAAAGCGCAAUAUUCGGGUGGGAGUGACCUGAUUUUCCAGAGCUGGUAUACGAUGCCUCUCCAGAAUCACCUUGUUCUUUCUGGAUCUAUUCAGAAUCUGAAACUCCUAGAAAAGAAAAAUGCAAGAUGCAUGAGUUGAGACAGGAUCUCACUAUGUUGCCUUGCAUGGACUGGAACUCCUUGGCUCAAGAAAUCUUCUUGCCUCAGCCUCCCAAAUAGCUAGGACUAUAUGCACAUGCUACUACACCUAGUGGAAAAUGAAGCACAGAGAAGUUCAGUGAUGGACCUCAGAUACUACCAGCAGAAAGCAGAAGAGCUAGGAUUUCAACUUAGGAUGUCUGGAUCCACAGUCUGCACUCCUACCCACUAUGCUACACUGCCUCUAACUAUGAGGAAGCAAGGGCAUUUUUUUUUUUCUGGUGACUAAAAAGAUAAGAGUUCAAGUAUGUGGCUCCUGAUAAUCUAACUUAUACAGCCUGGAAAAAUUGAUAGUUACUAUAUCCAGACUGUCUCAUUCAAUUAACAGUUUCUCAAGUAAUCUUCUAGUUACUGUCGUAUUUUAUCUGUAUCAACUUAGCAAACCAAGUCCAAAACAUUUUAUAUGUGUCUAUCUUUCCUGCUGUUCAUAUUAUUGAGUUAGCCAAAUAAAUUCAAUUUUUUUUCUACUGUUUGUUUCUCACAAAUUAUGACUGGCAUCUGUAUAUCUGGGAAGGUUCUACUGCAUUGCUGUAUUAUCACUAUAUAAUUAUAAGAGAUCACAGAGUGCAUUGAUGAAGGCCAUGUUGAGACAUGAUGAAACAGGGUCCAUUGUGACUGGGUGAAACUGUCUUCAAUUUCCUGGUCUAUAAAGCAGAGCAAUAAAGAACUUGGCUUGAGAGGUCAUUCCAAGAUGGUCGAAUAGGAACAGCUCCCAUCUGCAGCUCCCAGCGUGAUCGAUGCAGAAAACGGGAGGUCUGACUUCAGUGAAGAUCCAAAGGCAGAGGCCCCACAGGAGUCCUUCUGCUCCCUGGAGACAGUAAGUAUUAGAUUGGCCUUAUGCUUAGCAGACAGGCCUUAAUACUAAUUUCUCUUG